GGGGGCCGGCCCCUCGGUGUCGCCGAUCAGGCGGUGAUACCAAACCACCCAGAGCUGCACUCGUUAAGAGCGGGUGUGGUGAGCGUCUGUGGAAAAGGCGGGAUGAAUCCCGUCAGGU
rfam:Burkholderia sp. OLGA172 plasmid pOLGA1, complete sequence.